rnacentral:piRNA from 1 species
UGGAAUAAAUGUUGAGAAAAA